rnacentral:rRNA from 1 species
CACUUAGGAAUCUACCUAGUAGUGGGGGAUAGCUCGGGGGAAACUCGAAUUAAUACCGCAUACGUCCUACGGGAGAAGGGGCAACUUGUUGCUCUCGCUAUUAGAUGAGCCUAAGUCGGAUUAGCUAGUUGGUGGGGUAAAGGCCUACCAAGGCGACGAUCUGUAGCUGGUCUGAGAGGAUGAUCAGCCACACCGGGACUGAGACACGGCCCGGACUCCUACGGGAGGCAGCAGUGGGGAAUAUUGGACAAUGGGGGCAACCCUGAUCCAGCCAUGCCGCGUGUGUGAAGAAGGCCUUUU